rnacentral:rRNA from 1 species
AUACUGAGGGUGCAAGCGUUAAUCGGAAUUACUGGGCGUUAAGCGCGCGUAGGCGGUUAAAUAAGUCAGAUGUGAAAUCCCUGGGCUCAACCUAGGAACUGCAUCUGAAACUGUUUAACUAGAGUUUUGGAGAGGUAAGUGGAAUUUCCGGUGUAGCGGUGAAAUGCAUAGAGAUCGGAAGGAACACCAGUGGCGAAGGCGACUUACUGGCCAAAAACUGACGCUGAGGUGCGAAAGCGUGGGUAGCGAACAGGAUUAGAAACCCUAGUAGUCC